UGGCAUGCAGAUCACUCACCCCAUGGUCGAAACUCUGCUCGAUGUGUUGUGCACAUCGCACUACUUGAAGACUUCGCUGAAGACUCUGAUUCAUCGUAGUAAUACAGUGGCAGUCCAUAUCACGCUUGAUGUAGUAGUAUUCAUGCAGUCUUCAUGGUAUGUAAGGCCGUAUGGAUUGCGUUCUACUGCCACCCUUAGCUGAAACUGUUGUGCAGGAUUCGGUACCACACGAUGCAGC
rnacentral:lncRNA from 1 species